rnacentral:rRNA from 1 species
UACGAAGGGAGCUAGCGUUGUUCGGAAUUACUGGGCGUAAAGGGCGCGUAGGCGGUACUAUAAGUUAGAUGUGAAAGCCCCGGGCUUAACCUGGGAACUGCAUUUAAGACUAUAGAACUAGAGGACGAGAGGGGAAAGUGGAAUUGUGAGUGUAGAGGUGAAAUUCGUAGAUAUUCACAAGAACACCAGUGGCGAAGGCGACUUUCUGGCUCGUAUCUGACGCUAAGGCGCGAAAGCGUGGGGAGCAAACAGG